rnacentral:rRNA from 1 species
AGCAUAUCAUUAAGCGGAGGAAAAGAAACCAACAGGGAUUGCCCCAGUAACGGCGAGUGAAGCGGCAACAGCUCAAAUUUGAAAUCUGGCCCCAGGCCCGAGUUGUAAUUUGCAGAGGAUGCUUUUGGCGCGGUGCCUUCCGAGUUCCCUGGAACGGGACGCCAUAGAGGGUGAGAGCCCCGUACGGUUGGACACCAAGCCUUUGUAAAGCUCCUUCGACGAGUCGAGUAGUUUGGGAAUGCUGCUCAAAAUGGGAGGUAUAUUUCUUCUAAAGCUAAAUAUUGGCCAGAGACCGAUAGCGCACAAGUAGAGUGAUCGAAAGAUGAAAAGCACUUUGAAAAGAGGGUUAAACAGCACGUGAAAUUGUUAAAAGGGAAGCGCUUAUGACCAGACUUGCGCCCGGUGAAUCACCCAGCUCUCGCGGCUGGGGCACUUUGCCGGCUCAGGCCAGCAUCAGCUCGCUGUCGGGGACAAAAGCUUCGGGAACGUAGCUCUCUUCGGGGAGUGUUAUAGCCCGUUGCACAAUACCCUUCGGCGGGCUGAGGUACGCGCUCCGCAAGGAUGCUGGCGUAAUGGUCAUCAGCGACCCGUCUUGAAACACGGACCAAGGAGUCAACCUUAUGUGCGAGUGUUUGGGUGUUAAACCCCUACGCGUAAUGAAAGUGAACGCAGGUGAGAGCUUCGGCGCAUCAUCGACCGAUCCUGAUGUUCUCGGAUGGAUUUGAGUAAGAGCAUAUAGGGUUGGACCCGAAAGAAGGUGAACUAUGCGUGUAUAGGGUGAAGCCAGAGGAAACUCUGGUGGAGGCUCGCAGCGGUUCUGACGUGCAAAUCGAUCGUCAAAUAUGCGCAUGGGGGCGAAAGACUAAUCGAACCUUCUAGUAGCUGG